rnacentral:rRNA from 1 species
GCCUAACACAUGCAAGUCGAGCGGACAUACGGAAUAGAAGAGAAUACGUUCAAAUCGCUGGUAUGUUAGCGGCGGGAUGGGUGAGGAACGCGUGGAGAACCUGCCCUCACAGGGGAUAACAGUGGAACGACUGUUAAUACCGCAUAUGCUCACAGUACCGCAUGGUACAGGGAGGAAAGCCGAGACGGUGAAGGAUGGCUCCGCGUCGGAUUAGCCAGUUGGCGGGGUAACGGCCCACCAAAGCGAUGAUCCGUAGCCGGCCUGAGAGGGCGACCGGCCACAUUGGGACUGAGACACGGCCCAAACUCCUACGGGAGGCAGCAGUGGGGGAUAUUGCACAAUGGGGGAAACCCUGAUGCAGCCGACGCCGCGUGAAGGAGGAAGUGCUUCGGCAUGUAAACUUCUAUCAGCAGGGAAGAAGAUGACGGUACCUGCACAAGAAGCCCCGGCUAACUACGUGCCAGCCGCUGC